UCUGAUCUAGUUCAAUGGAUAGAAUAUCAGUCUCCAAAACCAGUAAAGUAGGUUCGAUACCUGCCAUCAAAU